GAAAUUUUUAAAAAUAUAUAAAAUUUCGAUAACUCGUUCUUAUCUUAUAUCAGCAAAAAUAAUCCAUUUUUGAUGGUAAACAAUUAAUAUUCUGAGCAGUACUGAACAUUAAGACGGAUGAUGGAGAAUCUACGCUCAAAAAACCUGGACCUUCUUCGGAAACUUCAACAUGGUCAGCAGAAACUGAAACUUAAACUAUCACCACGUAGCAACAAAACUACCAGUAAAAUUCUUAACUUUGACAGAAGGAGUCAUAAAAAUGCUCCGAAUACACCUGCAUCAGCUAGAAGAAAAUUAGAAGCACUAAAAAAACAUCAUCUCCAUUCAAGCCAUCAUAGAAAAGCCUUGUCUGAGGAUUACAAUCAGAAAAACCUAGAAUCUUCCCUACUUAGUGCUUAUGAAUCCGCCUUAGCUGGGAGCCCUGAUUUACGUAGCUUCAAGGCAAUGUCAAGCACUCCAAAAUUUGAUUUAAGAACUAAACGUAUUACUUCGCCAAAGUUUAGAAAUGGAGUGAGACAUUCUCCGAAGAUACCAUUCAGUAAACUGAGUCUCAAAGAAAAAUUGAAAAUCGAGGAUGAAAAUUUGGUGAAAGUGACACCUCCAAGGCCAACAAAACCGACCAUAGAUACCCCAAAAUCAAUCUUGAAGAAACGGAAAAUUAUUGAUGAUAACAUUGUUGUUGAUUCCAAAUUUGAUCAUGGAGACCUGUCAAAAAGUAACAGGAAUAAACGAGGAUUAAACUUCUCCUACUCAAAUAUUGAAGAUUCUGUGUGCAUUCCGCCUUCUCGCUCCACAGAAAAGAAGAGAAAAGUGAACCCUAAGAAAGUCCACUAUCAGGCAAACAGUUUUCCCAUGACUUUGAGGUCACGAUUGGAGCCAAACAAUCAUGAUGAUCUUUUAAAUGAUCCUGGAAAUGAUCGUUCAUACUCAGCAAUGGUUAGAAAUCUGAGUCAGGAUCCCAAGUCUAUUUUACUUUCAACUGGUGUGAAAACUCCUAAAAAGACACCAAAUAAGGUUCAUUUCAAGAACUUCAGAAAUUCAAGUCAGGAUCAUGCUAACUCAAGCCUUGAUGUCUCAAGGAGGCAACAGUCCUUUUGCAGUCCUGCAAACACCUCCUUGACUGGCUUAGCUAGGCGCAGGUCAGCUCGGCUACAGCAAAGAGAUGGUCAACAGCCACUGCUAGGUUAUGACUUCAUUGCUGGAAUGUUGGAUAACACAAAAACAUUCAGUGAUUUCCCUGAUGAUUACUUCGAGAAUCUCAAAGAGUUCCGUAGAGUUAAUAAAGAAGACUGUGUUAGCAGUGCAGGAGGCUCUACAUCAGCUCCACCAGCUCCUGAACCAAUUUCUCCUGAUGUUGAAUCACUGGAACAUACAUGUAUUCAUGGUUAUACAGUGAAUAAGAGACUGUUUACUGUACCCAUGAACACAAAUGAAGAGGGCAAAAGUAGAUGCCCUAUCUGUAAUAAGGAAAGAAAGGACCCAAAUUCAGAAUCCCCAGCCUUUGUCAGGAUCAGUAUACCACGGUCGACCCUGCUGACCCCAUAUAGAGUGAAACCUCACAGGAGGAAAAGCUAUGACCCAACUGACUCAUGUGCUCUAUCAGAGCAUUGUUUGGCUGGUUGGGAGUGCUCCAAGCCUUCUAUGCUACCCAGAGCUUCAACUGUGGAUCUCAGACAAGCUGCUGAUGGUAUCAAAACCAAACUGUCUACAACUCUUCUUGAAGCAGAAAUAUUAGCCAAAGAUUCAACAAAACAAUACCGAGUUCCUAUAGCAACACCAUCGCCUAGAAACACAAUGUAUGAUCUCCGUAGCAACAAUAGUAUCAUCACAGAUGACUUACUGAACACAACACAUAGCUUGAGAUAUCAAAUGCAACGCAUGGAACAGGAUAGGAAAAUCAGAAAUAAGAUAAAUCAAUCAAGAAAUCACUCAAUGAAACUUUGAACUGGAUACAAAUCAAAAAUUGCCCUUAGACUGUGCUGUGAUAAAAACACUGAGAAAAGAGUGUGCUGUGAUAAAAA
rnacentral:misc_RNA from 1 species